ensembl:lncRNA MEG3 maternally expressed 3
GGCGGAGAGCAGAGAGGGAGCGCGCCUUGGCUCGCUGGCCUUGGCGGCGGCUCCUCAGGAGAGCUGGGGCGCCCACGAGAGGAUCCCUCACCCGGGUCUCUCCUCAGGGAUGACAUCAUCCGUCCACCUCCUUGUCUUCAAGGACCACCUCCUCUCCAUGCUGAGCUGCUGCCAAGGGGCCUGCUGCCCAUCUACACCUCACGAGGGCACUAGGAGCACGGUUUCCUGGAUCCCACCAACAUACAAAGCAGCCACUCACUGACCCCCAGGACCAGGAUGGCAAAGGAUGAAGAGGACCGGAACUGACCAGCCAGCUGUCCCUCUUACCUAAAGACUUAAACCAAUGCCCUAGUGAGGGGGCAUUGGGCAUUAAGCCCUGACCUUUGCUAUGCUCAUACUUUGACUCUAUGAGUACUUUCCUAUAAGUCUUUGCUUGUGUUCACCUGCUAGCAAACUGGAGUGUUUCCCUCCCCAAGGGGGUGUCAGUCUUUGUCGACUGACUCUGUCAUCACCCUUAUGAUGUCCUGAAUGGAAGGAUCCCUUUGGGAAAUUCUCAGGAGGGGGACCUGGGCCAAGGGCUUGGCCAGCAUCCUGCUGGCAACUCCAAGGCCCUGGGUGGGCUUCUGGAAUGAGCAUGCUACUGAAUCACCAAAGGCACGCCCGACCUCUCUGAAGAUCUUCCUAUCCUUUUCUGGGGGAAUGGGGUCGAUGAGAGCAACCUCCUAGGGUUGUUGUGAGAAUUAAAUGAGAUAAAAGAGGCCUCAGGCAGGAUCUGGCAUAGAGGAGGUGAUCAGCAAAUGUUUGUUGAAAAGGUUUGACAGGUCAGUCCCUUCCCACCCCUCUUGCUUGUCUUACUUGUCUUAUUUAUUCUCCAACAGCACUCCAGGCAGCCCUUGUCCACGGGCUCUCCUUGCAUCAGCCAAGCUUCUUGAAAGGCCUGUCUACACUUGCUGUCUUCCUUCCUCACCUCCAAUUUCCUCUUCAACCCACUGCUUCCUGACUCGCUCUACUCCGUGGAAGCACGCUCACAAAGGGCUAAUCUCGGGCCUUGUCGAAGGAAGAGGCUGCAGACGUUAAUGAGGGUGUCCCAGCACCAGCCUGGCACAGAGUGGG